rnacentral:misc_RNA from 1 species
AACGGUCUAUACCUGCGGUACCUGCGGAAGGAUCAUUAAUGUGAUGGAUGUGCUAGUCUCGACCUCUCAAUCCUUCCUUCAUUAUUGUUGGGUGGGGGCCUGACGGCUCGAGAGCAAGGGAAAUAAGAGCCUGUUUGGGCGUGCACUCCAAUACAAUCCUCUCUUUAUACCUUGUGCAUCUCUGCCUGCUGAACAAAGAAAGGGUAUUGAAUAAUAUCCAUCACUGUUCAAGUGGGACAU